GACGGAAGGUGCAAGCGUUGCUCGGAAUCACUGGGCGUAAAGGGUGCGUAGGCGGCUUGGUGGGUCUGGUGUGAAAGCCCCGGGCUCAGCCCGGGAAGGGCACUAGAAACUGCCGAGCUGGAGUGCCGGAGGGGAGAGUGGAAUUCCUGGUGUAGCGGUGAAAUGCGUAGAUAUCAGGAGGAACACCAACAGCGAAGGCAGAUCUCUGGGACGUAACUGACGCUGAGACGCGAAAGCGUGGGGAGGCAAACAGG
rnacentral:rRNA from 1 species